AAAAAAAACUAUAGCCGUACACUAUGCAUAACGCCAUUAACCCUAGAAAAAGGAAAUUCAAAUCUAUAGACGGUAAUCCCAAGAGACGGCGUAGAUCUGAUAGUGGGGGUAGCAUUAUGGAUUUAGAACUUGAAGAGAUGACAAUGCGGUAUGACGCAACCGGCAAUACGUCUCAUUUGUCGGGCGUAGGCCAUGUGGUGGGUGGGGGCAUGUAUGCAGAAGGUUGUUUAGACAGGCGGGAAAUAUGUGUUGGCGUAGAUAGAACUAGACGGGUGUUAAUUGCAGCUGAUGCAUGGGGUCGUAGCAUGGCUAAUGCUCUAUAUCAGGCAGCACAGAUAAAUGUUUCGAACGAACCAUGUCUAGAUGACGUGGUGGGGCUAGAGGCACCAGGAGAUUUAGACACAAGGGGUGUGUUGUAUGCGGGGGCAAACACACGAGAUGUACUUAACGCUGUCGGGGGGCGGUUGGAUAGUGCACAAGAGUCUAUACAUAUCCACACAGAUCGAUGUAUUGCAUGGGUCGCAACGUGAUGAAGGGAUUGGCGAGGGUUUUCAGGACCCCCCGGCUGUGGCAGGGGUCCCUAUAGAGUCGAAUAUACAGGGCGGUGGUGGUGGCGUGGGGGGUGGUGGUGGUGGCGGUGAUGGCGAUGCUGUUGUUGACGAUGAUGGCAGUGGUGACGGUAGCGGUGUGGGGGAUGGAGGUGCUGGUGAUGGUGCUGCUUAUGAUGGUACACAGGUGCCUGCUGUAACGGGGGAAGAUAAUGACGAGUUGCAUACCAGAUUAUUUCCCCGGUUUAACGGCUUUGAGGUUAGACAGUCCAUUGACCUGAGAAGUAUAUCCCUUGCAAAUUUACAGGAGGUCCCUGAUUUGAUCAGGGAGAGGCUGUCAGAUGUCAUAACAAGCUGCUCGCAAAGUGCAGCCGAUGGUAGUGUCUUAAACGUGGUGCUGAGAGGUCCUUCAUUGGCCUCUGAUGUACAGGCUGUGCUCGUAACGGGUGACGAUUACAAUGAGGAUUUGUUUAUGGAGCAUAUUAGCCAAGUCAUACAGAGCAACGACACAGGUCUGACGGAUGAUGUGCUAGAGCUGAUGGUCACAGGGGUCCACAACAAACGGGGUGGGGCACGUUUGAAGUUAAAAAACAUUCCCUAUGAUGAAAUCAUACACAAGAAGAAGCUAAGUCUCUACACACCGAGUAAUACUCACGACAAUUUGUGUUUCUCACUAUGCAUGACACAUUUUCUGCAUGAGGGGGUAACCGGGGGCGACACAGCGGCCAAAGAGACUAAUUUGGAGGCGGCUCGCAAAUUACACAGGGAUCUGGGGUUUGCCCCAGAUCACCCUGUGGGUUUCUCGGAUGUUUCCAAAUUUGAGAGACAUCUAGAUGUUAAAAUCCUGAUAUUUCAUCAUAAUGAUGCAUUCAGGAAGCUGGAGAUGUUCCAGACACAUACGGACCAACAUCCAAAAACAGUAUGGCUAUACCUCCAUGAUAGCCACUAUCAUUGCAUAGAGAACAGAACGGCAUUCUUUGUUACGGGAUAUGUGUGUGAAUAUUGCUACAAGGCCCAUGAGGGAAUUCUAUUACACAAAUGCCCGAUCCAUUGCAAUGUGUGUCUGACAGUGUGCGAUAGACUAUCAGGUCGCACGAUAAAGUGCAAGGACUGUAGUCGUAUAUGCCGCUCGCUGGUCUGCUACAACACACACAAGAAGCAUUCUGCCAAACAUGACAUGAUACCUUGUGAAAAGCUCAAAUACUGCGAUCGUUGUUGUAGACAGUAUAUCAUAUCGAAGAAGAAGAAGAAGAAGAAGGGGGUGGGGGAGGGGGAUGAGGAGGAGGAGGAGGAGGAUGAGGAAGGUGACGAUAAUGG
ensembl:lncRNA